ensembl:processed_transcript
AGUAUACUCACCGCUGCGCAGCGUCCCGGUUGGCGGGCCGCGUAGGCCCGGCCGCCGCGGAAAGGAAAGGCCGGAGCCCUCCGGCUCCCUCCCCUGGGACACUUCCUGCACCGCUCUAGGACCGAGGAGGUCUCCUCAUCUCAGUGGUUCGCUUCCCCGCCUCCUGGCCGAGGUGUACGCGGGGGGGUGACAUCCGACACCCCCGGCCCGCCUGGACCGCCCCGCCCCGCCCCGCUCCGUGCUCUCCCGGCCUGGGCCCGGGGCCCGGGCUUAAGCUUUGUGGGCCUUCCUAGCGGGCUCGGGAUGCGCGCGCGCUCCGGCGGGACCCGGGCGCUGGGGGCCAGUUCGCGCGGCCACCAGCCAGGGAGGCCGGCCUGGGGCUUUGCUCUUCUCUGCUCCUCUUGUGUGGGCGCAGGGAAGGGCUGGUCUGGCGGCGCUGGCGAAAUGCCAGAAUUGGGAGGAGGAGGGAUGAGGUGUAAGGGGAUCUCCCAGUGACCAUUUGCAUCCCGUGUGUGCUGUUGUGCCCCAAUCCCUUCCAGCCACAAUUCCAUUUCAAAGCCAACGCUGCCAGAGCCACCCAAAUCGGUACGACUGGAGAAAUGCAGACCCAGCGAUCCACGGUGUUCGCCGAAGCAUCGGCCCGCGGCUUCGUGACAUGGAGAUGAUCUACGAUUUCUCUGUUUAAGGAAGACUGUAGCACUCUGGGUCCCUCUGAGCACCAGGACAGUCCUGGUACAUGGUAGGAAGUCACCCUUAAAGAAGGUGGCUUGAUAGAGACACCCCACCCCCGGCAGACUUCGUGCUUCCGUUUCCUUCUAAUAAUUGGGACUGGGACGAUCUCUUCCGACUAGUAGAACCUGGAAUAGGGACUAAUAGACUGGAAUCAGAGCACCUGUGUUAAAUCAUACCCAUCAAGGCGCAGUCAGGUGAUCUAAGGCCUGCGUGACCUCUCUGUACUUCAGGGAUCACAUUUGGAUGCGUGUGCAAGCUGUGCUGUAGCCACCUCAGGUCCUGAAUCUUUAGGACUUGCUGGAGCUCAUUGCUGGUCUAUUUUGGCAGGUACAGGAUACUCAAAGCAUUUAUCGUUCUCCUUGCUGUAUACAAUUGGUUCUAUUCUUUUGUAUGACUCCAAGAGGUUAAGUUACAUGUUCCUCUGAUGUUUGUGAUCCUGUGCGUCUAGCUGCCUCCGUAGUGUCACUGAUCUUACCUGAGCUCUCAUACUCAUUCUCUCUCACUUCUCUUCCCUCCUUCUGGUCCUCUUGCUUCCCUCCAGCCUCCUUUAGAACUCAUUAUCUUUUAGAGUAAUACCACCCUUAACCAGUAGUUUGACUCCCCACUCCCUCAAAGGGGACUCAUUUGUCUCACUAGUGCUUAUACAUGUGUUACUGUAAUAAAGUAAGUUUUUUUAAUGU